rnacentral:tRNA from 1 species
UCCCUUGUAUCUCAGCUGGUAGAGAAUCCGCCUGCAGUGCGGGAGACCUGAGUUCCAUCCUUGGGUUGGGAA